GUGAUGAGCUAGCGCCGCCGCACAGAGCUGUGAAGAGGGGAUCAAAACUGA
rnacentral:snoRNA from 1 species